rnacentral:lncRNA from 1 species
CGGAAGGGUGCUGUAUAGAGAGCCCUCAUGACAAGAUGCAGAAGUUACUGAAGGAAAGGAUGAAUUGAGACAGUUAUCAGAAACAAAGGCAGACCAGCUGGCUUCAAAUGUUGCUGAAUAAGAAAAUGGCCAGAGCUAUAUCAUUACACUGACGCAAAUGCCCUGUGGGGGGUGGUAACAGCAAUGGAACUAGAACUAGCAGCACAGAGACCAGUAGAUCUGGGAUGCUGCACUGUGAAAAGAUAUUGCUGCCUAGGUAGAAAACAUGGCUGUAAAAGUAAGUAAUGUAGAUGGUCAUGUGCACAAGAGUUGUGCCACCAAAAAAAAACUUCAAAAAAAACCAGGAAGUAGAUGGAGCGGCUAAGACUGAAGUGGCUUAGGUAAAUCUAGACAAGAAAAAUAAGGAAAAACUACUUCCAGCACACACUAAAAUGCAAAUAGACAAAAAAAGAUCAUAAACACAUAAAAAGAAGAAGAAAAAAGAGGCAGACAUCACAUCAACAAGAAAAAAACUUUUAAUACAGGGGGUAGUACAUAAUUUUGGUGAAUAACCAAAGCAUAUAUGUUAAGGGGAAACACCAUAAAUAUUAAGAAAAAUUGGUCUAAUUACAAAACACUGCCCAACCUCAGCAUCAGCCUCUUCCUCCCUCAUGUGCUCCGGUUCCACAUGCGGCUUCUUCCGCCGUCUUCUGCGGGAGCUCCUGAAAAGGAAGGCAGGCACCAUUAGACCCGAGAAGCACCGAGAACACCCCCACCAAAAGGAAACGGGCAACCCAACAUCCCAACGCAGCUGGCACACGAGCGCCCCGCCAAGGAAGACCUCGCAACUUCCAGACCCAACUCCUCCCAGAAAAAAACAAAACAAAGAAAAAAAACCCGAAAACCAAACAAAAACCACACACCCCCUGCAUGCAGUGGAAUUAUUCUUUCUUGUGACUGCCAGCGAGGUGUACUUCCAUGCUUUAUUGUCACUUGAGCAUCGCCCCAUGUACAGGGGAGUUCUGUUGUCCAAGGCUGAUUUUCUCUUUACCUCUAUUUAGAGCUCCUCUUUUUCGUUUGUCAUCCAGACUUCCUCA